AUUGAACGCUGGCGGCAGGCCUAACACAUGCAAGUCGAACGAGUGGCGGACGGGUGGAUAAUGUCUGGGAAACUGCCCGAUGGAGGGGGAUAACUACUGGAAACGGUGGCUAAUCCCGCCAACCGUCGGAUGUGCCCAGAGGGGAUUAGCUAGUCGGUGGGGUAACGGCUCACCUAGGCGACGAUCCCUACCUGGUCUGAGAGGAUGACCAGCCACACUGGAACUGAGACACGGUCCAGACUCCUACGGGAGGCAGCAGUGGGGAAUAUUGCACAAUGGGCGCAAGCCUGAUGCAGCCAUGCCGCGUGUAUGAAGAAGGCCUUCGGGUUGUAAAGUACUUUUAGCGGGGAGGCGUUAUUCACAGAAGAAGCACCGGCUAACUCCGUGCCAGCAGCCGCGGUAAUAC
rnacentral:rRNA from 1 species